CACAAAGGGCGGCGCAUUAUUAGUUGUAGUAGUAGAUGCCACUUGUGCUAACGGCGGCGCUGCCAUCGUAAUCUAGAGUAGAUAGCGCUACAUGAGUCCUCAGUGGGCAGUCGAGUUGACAUCCAGCCAUAGAGUAUAGUUCGCGCAACUAACACGUCCUAGAUGGCAGCACCGGCAACAUCCGGAAUGGCGUCCAAAACCUCGACAAUAAAACCGAACACAUUUUCACAAAUAACUCGAUAAAUGUUCGAUCUUUAGUCAUGAUUAUUAUCAUCAUUCGUUCAUCGCUUACUAAUUUACAAGAAAGAUAUAAAUUUUCGGCCGAUAGAAUGGAAUAAACUACCAAAAACCGCACGAAAUACAGAGCGCACGGCGAUACGUCCCUUCCGUAUCAACGCCAUGAUGGAUCUAGCAAAAAAUAUGACAAUAUUAUUUAAUACGAAUGCGAAGGGAUAUUGGUUAUUUGAUAGGAUCGAUCGAUUGCGUAUUUUCAUAUUCUUUUGAGCCCGAGUUGAUUGCUCUCAGGUCUCUGUCCAUCGACCAAAUCGCCUCGCUUUCUCAAAUUAAAACUAUUUGUAAAACUUAGAAGAAACGAAGUAAGCUAUAAAUUUUCGUUCUGUUGUGAGCACGCAUGUGCACGAACCUGUAUUCUGUUUAUUUACUACGAAACCAACAUGCGAUAAAAAAUAGUGAUAAGCCGUAAUUGCAAUGGGCAGACAUUUUGGAAUAUUUAUAUCCACUGUUAUUGAUUUCUUUGUCAGUAGAGUAUUCUAAUCAUAGUAAUGUUAAAUAUUUGGAUCCCAAAAAGACACCAUAAUACAUCAAUGUAUUGACUAAAAUAGUAUAAAGUAAAGGAAAUGUUUCUACAAGGAAUAUUUUGGGAAUGCUUCUGUGACCAUUAUUUGUGUUGGCACGCAUAUAUAUUGCACAAACAUUUUUUACUUUUGCUUAUAUUCACGCACUUUUUUAUAUUAUAAAAAGAGUGGCAAUGAAAUCAAAAUGUAUUCAAAUCUAUCAUUGCGCAUUGUGGUACACUCUUCGAGAAACAGAAGUACUUAUUAAAAGUCAAGGACGUGAAUUAUAUAGAAAGCGAAUUAAAAGAAAAAAUUCAAAACGACAAAGGAUCGAUAAUUGUAUAAGCUCGUCACAAAUAAGAGGUAGAUGUCAAAAAAUAAAAUAGAUUAAGUAAACUACCUGGAAAUAUAACAUUUUAGAGGAAUAUUCGGAUCUUAACAGCAUAAUCAUGGAGAAAAAACAAUGAGUUAAAGGAUCAUUCAUAAGAGAUUUUUCAUCAGAGGUAGCUUCUUACCUUGCAUUGCAGAAAAAAUAAAAAAGUUUCAAUAUUUAGAAGAUCAUAUUAUCGAACAUGAAUAGCACAAGUAAAAAUUAAUACGCAAAAAUUACAUGAGUAUAAUGUAAUCAUUUGAUGCAUAAGUAUACUUUGAAAAUGAGGUAGAAGAAUAUUGUGAAUUUCACAAGACGUUGAAAAGGAACCGCUUGAACAAAAAAAUAUGGAAAUGGAAUAAAACAUUCAGACCAAAUAAUCUGGAUUUAGACCAUCGAAGGAAAGAGCAUUCAACAAUACGAGCAAGUAACAAGGAUAUUACACAUAAGCGAGCUUCUUGUGAAAGUCAAAUUUAGCAGCAACAAAUAA